CGCAGAGCAUUGUGGGAAACGUAUUCGAGGAACUUCGACGUUCACUCAUUGACCCAAGGAAGGAUGGCGAACAUCCUCUGAGAUCAGAAGAUGGAAUCAUCAAGAGAACAGAGACCAGCACUGGGCGGUAGCAGGGAGGCAGACCUUGUGAAUACGCCCCUUGGGGAGGAGCCAGUGAAGGCGCACCUGCGGGCAUCGCAGCAGCUCUUGGUGGAUUCUCUGUACAACAUCGCCCCACUUCUCGACCACAUGUUGGCCGCCAAUCUGCUCUCCCAAGACAACUACUUCCAGGUUCAAGCGGAACGAACACCAACCGAUCGUGCUCGCAAGCUGCUUGAGGUGGUUCACGCCCAGAUGGAUGAGCGUGGGGUGCAGGCUUUCCUAGACUGCCUGAGGAAGUGUGAGAACCAUUACCCCCGCCUGCGCAAGUGGUUUCACAGGACCAUAGAAUCUCAGUGUGAAAACGUAGCUGUUCGGUGUGGUCCAACAGAAACCAGGCUCCGGGCUCAGUUCAGUAUGCUGUGUCAUCGUCUGGGUGUCUCGGUGCUGCCUGUUUCUCUCCAGCUAUUCUCUGAAGGAACACUUACUCAGCUGGAGGUGGACCAGGUGCAGUCUUUGCCCACCUCUUACCAGCAGAUUCAGCGUCUCCUGUCCAUCUGUUUGUCAAAGGGCGAGAAUGCCUGUAGGGGCUUCUACCAGGCUUUCCAUGGGGAAGAUGCACACCUAGCCAAAGAGAUCGAUGCUCACUCUAUCACUGAAGAAGACACAAAAAGCCUGCUCUCUGUGGCUGUGGAAGAGAGCAGAACUGCAGCUCCCCUGGAUGAGCCUGACACAGAUGUGCUGCAGAAGGCAUUGGAUAUAGUGGGUGGUGCUCUGGCUGAAGGUGCGAGGCUCAACGUGUGCGAGUUGGGCGUAGCUCUGGGGCUGUGUCGUGACGAUGUCCGUGAUUGUCUCCUGGAAGAUGUGGACAUUGACGGUGGUGCUCAGCUUAGGGCCCUGGUAACCCUCUUUUUGGAGAAGACCCAGGACGGCUCUCGGCUGCUCGCAAAGCUGGCAGAGUGCGAUUUACAGAGGCUGCAACUCUCAGAGAGAGGGAUCCUGCUCCUGGAGCUGCUGGCAGAAGCAGAUCAUCUCCUCCAUGAUGGCCGUGUCCAGCCUCUGGUGGUGCACAUCUUCACCUUCCUGCUGUGGGACACCCUGACAGAGGCAGCGGAGGAGCCAAGCGCAGAACUACGGUCAGGCGUACCAGAAGCUGUGCAGAUGCUGCGGACCGGCGGCAGGGUGGAGGCAGAGCUGCUGCUGGAGCUGGAGGAGUGCUGGGAAGAAGAGCCAACGGUGGACAGCUUGCGGCAGUUUGCACGCGCUCUCUCUCUGCUGAUCCAGGAUUUGUACCCUUGUCAGGACAGCCUGCACCUGUGCGCUGCCCACCACAAAGGGGAACUGGCUGUUUGCAGGCCACGAAGGCUUCAAAGGAUCACACGCUUCCGAGGCCUGCCCGGCAGGAUCAUCAGCAGGGCAUUGGGUACCCUGCCGUCAACAUCUGAAUCUCUGCAGAACCAGUACCGGGGAAUCUGCCUAGCUGUAGCUCGUCUGCUGGAGCGUCUGUGCCCCGCAGAAGGUGGUACUGCUCACCUGCCUAGUGCUGCUACUGCUGCCACUGCCAGUGCAAGCACCGCCAAGAUCACCCAGCAUGUGCGUGCCAUGUUGGCCCAGCCUGCCUUCAGUUCGGAUGUGUUUGACGGUGGCGUUCGACAUCGCCUGCUCUCAGUGCUCCACUUUGAUCCUGCAAAACUGGAGCUGCCCUGCCUGCUGAAGCUGCACCGGGACAGCCUGGAAGUUCUGGGACGCUACCUGAGAGUCAGCGAGCGUCACUCCUUCCAGCUGCACCCAGAUGGACUGCUAGUGCUGGGGGGCAGAGCUGAACUCUACUGGGCUGAAAGUGUCACAGGCCCUGUUGCCAUUGACAAUGGGAUGGAAGAGGUGUUUCGUUUCCUCACCUCGGGUCCUGCCUCCAUGCUUAUGCGUAUUUGUUGCCACGGUUACGAGGAUAGGGAGUACUUCCGAGUGCACGAGCCCCACUGUGUAUGUCUGUCAGGCCUGGGAGAGGGGGGCGUUGCUGAGUUGCAACGCAUGGGGUUGCAGGUGCUGGGAGAAGAAUCAGGCGAGGUCUGGGUGAGGGAGGCUGGGUCAGCCAAUGAGCUUGUCACAUUGGCAGAGAAACAUGGCAGCCAGGUGCAGGAAGCUGGCUGCUGUUUCCUGCUCAAAACCCCAGGGCCUCACUGUGAGGUCAGGUUUGUGUACAAACACAGGAGGAUCACAGCAUCUAGCAAGAGCAACUGUGAAGUGAUAUAA
rnacentral:lncRNA from 1 species